rnacentral:rRNA from 1 species
CCCUUAGAUGUUCUGGGCCGCACGCGUGCUACACUGAGUGGAUCAGCGGGUCAGGUUGCGCGAAAGCGUUUCCUAAUCUUUAAAUCCGCUCGUGAUGGGGAUUGACGGUUGCAAUUUUCUGUCAUGAACGAGGAAUACCUUGUAAGCGCGGGUCAUCAUCCCGCGCUGAAUACGUCCCUGCCCUUUGUACACACCGCCCGUCGCUCCUACCGAUUGAGUGGUCCGGUGAGGCUUUGGAAUCUGAGCGGAAAGAGCGUUUCGCUGUUUCUGCUCGGAAAACUCAGUCGAACCUUAUCAUUUAGAGGAAGGAGAAGUCGUAACA